rnacentral:rRNA from 1 species
UACGUAGGGCGCAAGCGUUGUCCGGAAUUAUUGGGCGUAAAGAGCUCGUAGGUGGCUUGUCACGUCGGGUGUGAAAGCUUGGGGCUUAACUCCAGGUCUGCAUUCGAUACGGGCUGGCUAGAGGUAGGUAGGGGAGAACGGAAUUCCUGGUGUAGCGGUGAAAUGCGCAGAUAUCAGGAGGAACACCGGUGGCGAAGGCGGCGCUCUGGACCGAGACUGACGCUGAGGCGCGAAAGCGUGGGGAGCAAACAGG